rnacentral:rRNA from 1 species
UACGUAGGGGGCAAGCGUUGUCCGGAAUUAUUGGGCGUAAAGCGCGCGCAGGCGGUUCUUUAAGUCUGGUGUUUAAGUCCGUGGCUCAACCGCGGGACGCACUGGAAACUGGGAGACUUGAGUGCAGGAGAGGGAAGCGGAAUUCCUAGUGUAGCGGUGAAAUGCGUAGAUAUUAGGAGGAACACCAGUGGCGAAGGCGGCUUCCUGGCCUGUAACUGACGCUGAGGCACGAAAGCGUGGGGAGCAAACAGG